ACAAUCCAGAGCGAUCUUAUCUCUUCUACUCUUUCGUAGAGAUAGUCCUAGCGCGCUGCCGUCGGUUGCCACCUCCGCAAGCGCGUUGCCGCCGGCCAGCACCUCCGCCAGCGCGCCGCCGCCGGUCUCCACCUCCGCGAGCGCGCCGCCGCCGGCGACCACCUCCGCUAGCGCGCCGCCGCCGGUCGCCACCUCCGCCAGCCGCGCCGCCGCCGGUCGCAACCUCCGCGAGCGCGCCGCCGCCGGUCGCCACCUCCGCCGGCGCCUUCGCCCGUCGGGAAGGGAAGGGCCUUCUCCUCGCCGUCGGGCGCGCCGGUGACCCCAUUCUCACCUGGCGCCAUUGGGAACAGCGAGCCGCUGGACCCUCUCUCCCAUGAUCCAGCGCGUUGCUAGUCCCUGCCACCACUUCUCUUCCCGUCAAUUUCUGCUCCUCCAAGGCUCCUUAGUUCUACAUCUAAAAAAAUCCAAGGAUGUAAUAAAAGUGCAGCGGACAUUCCAGACGGAAAGAAGAAAUGCGUGGGAUUAGACUUUCUAUUUUUGGAACGUGGGGAAUGUCGGACUACUUUAUUUCUAUUUUUAGGUGGAGCACUCCAUAAGACUAACCGGUGCUAGGGCACUCCGUAGCAAUGCCCUUCUAUUACCACCAAACCACGAGGGCAGGAAGCUUCUCGUUAAAAACAAACGGUGGCGGUACAAGAAGAGUUGCUAAAGAGAUGGACGAGAUCACGGAGCCAAGGAGAGAUGUUGCCCACUCACCACACACUUGCUGCUGGAGAGACAGUGGCAAUUUCAAAUAGAUUUCUUGCCCUUCCCCUCAUGCAUUGUGCGGCAAAUUAGUGCGGCUGAUCGGACUGGGUUUCAGCUAGGGGUACGGGAGGCAAUUUCUCAACUAGGUGCUCAACUGCUCGUCUUAACAACCAUACUCUAUGGUAAUGAGUGAAGGAGAGGUGGUGCAGGGCCGUGUGAAGCAGCACUGGUGGCUACAUGUGGAGAAAGGGAAGAAGAGACAUGUCUGUUAGUGAAUGCAUGUGUGAUCAAAAUAAUUUACAUGAGGUGAUCAGUGGUUACCUGAGUCUUUUGCCGCCACAUAACAUGAAGAGCUCUCUCGCGAAUGACGAGAUCAUCUAUGUCAGUGAUGGUUGGUUCUCCGAAGACUAUCUAUACAUGUAGGUAGUCAUGCUGAUGUACCUUGGUUUUCCUAUCGUACCUGAAAGUUCUUUGUCUUCAUAAUAGUAUAUAUUUAUACAUGUAGGUAGUCAUACUGAUGUACCUUGGUUUUCCUAUCGUACCUAUUUGACUUUCCGGUGGUUUAUAAAUAUCAUAGUUAAAGAAUAUCUACCCCGAAG